UGGGUUGUGGCUCAGUGGUAAAGCACUCACCUUGCACGUGUGAGAGCCUGGGUUCAAUCCUCAGCACCAU
rnacentral:tRNA from 1 species